UUUUUUUUUUGUGACUAUUUUUAACAAUAGAUUAUUAUUAUUAUUAUAUGGGGACUAUUUAAUUCUAGAACGAUCACGUAAUUCUGAGGGAGACUAUUAUCAUUCUAAUUGUAUAAUUUUUAAUUCAAGAACUAAAAGUCAGAAAUCUUCAGUGCUUUAUAUUUUCGAAAGUAUAAUAAUUCUACACUAUAUUUUACUUUCUUAUAACUAUUCAAUGUGGAAUAAUUUAUAUGUGAAUUUUUAACAAUUGUG
rnacentral:lncRNA from 1 species